UACGAAGGGGGCUAGCGUUGCUCGGAAUCACUGGGCGUAAAGGGUGCGUAGGCGGGUUUUUAAGUCAGAGGUGAAAUCCUGGAGCUCAACUCCAGAACUGCCUUUGAUACUGAAAGUCUUGAGUAUGGGAGAGGUGAGUGGAACUGCGAGUGUAGAGGUGAAAUUCGUAGAUAUUCGCAAGAACACCAGUGGCGAAGGCGGCUCACUGGCCCAUAACUGACGCUGAUGCGCGAAAGCUAGGGGAGCAAACAGG
rnacentral:rRNA from 1 species